AAUAUUGGUCAAUGGAGGGAACUCUGAACCAGCCAUGCCGCGUGCAGGAAGACUGCCCUAUGGGUUGUAAACUGCUUUUAUACGGGAAUAAACCCCUCGACGUGUCGGGGGCUGAAUGUACCGUAGGAAUAAGGAUCGGCUAACUCCGUGCCAGCAGCCGCGGUAAUACGGAGGAUCCGAGCGUUAUCCGGAUUCACUGGGUUUAAAGGGUGCGUAGGCGGCCCGGCAAGUCAGUGGUGAAAGCCCGCAGCUCAACUGCGGAAUUGCCAUUGAAACUGCCAGGCUUGAAUCUGGCUGAAGUGGGCGGAAUAUAUCAUGUAGCGGUGAAAUGCUUAGAUAUGAUGUAGAACACCGAUUGCGAAGGCAGCUCACUAAGCCAACAUUGACGCUGAGGCACGAAAGCGUGGGGAGC
rnacentral:rRNA from 1 species